rnacentral:misc_RNA from 1 species
GGAAGUAAAAGUCGUAAUAAGGUUUCCGUAGGUGAACCUGCGGAAGGAUCAUUAUUGAAUGAAACACUUCUGGCUUUAUGCUGUUGUGCUGGCCCUUUGGGCAAUGUGCACACGGCUCUGGUCACUUGUUUCUUCUGUUCCACCUGUGCACUGCCUGUAGACACGCUGUGUCUAUGAUAUUUGUUAACACACAACAAUGUUAGUUGGCAUGUUAUAUAUAAUAAUAAAAUAUACAACUUUCAACAACGGAUCUCUUGGCUCUC